rnacentral:misc_RNA from 1 species
GAUGAAGAACGCAGCGAAAUGCGAUAAGUAAUGUGAAUUGCAGAAUUCAGUGAAUCAUCGAAUCUUUGAACGCACAUUGCGCCCUCUGGUAUUCCGGGGGGCAUGCCUGUUCGAGCGUCAUUAUAACCACUCAAGCUCUCGCUUGGUAUUGGGGUUCGCGGUUCCGCGGCCCCUAAAAUCAGUGGCGGUGCCUGUCGGCUCUACGCGUAGUAAUACUCCUCGCGAUUGAGUCCGGUAGGUCUACUUGCCAGCAACACCCAAUUUUUACAGGUUGACCUCGGAUCAGGUAGGGAUACCCGCUGAACUUAAGCAUAUCAAUAAGCGGAGGA